AACGCGAAGAACCUUACCGAGGCUUGACAUCGGAGGAACAUCAUAGAAAUAUGGUUUCGGAGCAAUCCGACUUCCAGACAGGUGCUGCAUGGCUGUCGUCAGCUCGUGCCGUGAGGUGUUGGGUUAAGUCCCGCAACGAGCGCAACCCUCGUCGUGUGUUGGUCCGCAAGGAUCUCUCACGCGAGACCGCCGGUGAGAAGCCGGAGGAAGGUGGGGAUGACGUCAAGUCAGCAUGGCCCUUACGUCUCGGGCUACACACGUGCUACAAUGGGGAGGACAACGAGUCGCUAGCUAGUGAUAGUCUGCCAAUCUCUUAAACCUCUCCUCAGUUCGGAUUGAAGGCUGCAACUCGCCUUCAUGAAGUCGGAAUCGCUAGUAAACGCAGAUCAGCUACGCUGCGUUGAAUACGUUCCCGGGCCUUGUA
rnacentral:rRNA from 1 species